UCUUCUCUUCCUUAUGCUCAAUGUCUGGUUGAGUGGGGAUCUGAGAAGACUCUGAAGCUUGUGAUCAAGAGGCUGCUUGGAGGUGGUGAUCGAGCAUCUGCUCGAGUGAUCUGAGGGAGGCUUGCUGGGGAAUGCUCGACUGACACGAUCGAGUAUGUCAACAGAGGAUGCGAUCAAGUGUUGUGGCAGGUUGUGGUCGAGCAUCUGCUUCAGUGGCCAGGAUGAUGGUACUCGACCUCGUGAUCGAGUAUGUGGUCGAGUGGUGGCGUUGAAGUGGUGAUCGAGUCAUUUGGUGAAGAGCAUGGUCGAGCGCUUGAGAAGCGGUGGAGCUGAUCUACUCAAUCACCGUGGUCGAGUGGUACCUUGUUUUGUCCCUGAUCAUGCUCGACUGAGUAGGUCGAGUGUGCUGUCUGAUUUGGCUCUGCUUCUCUCAAUCUGCUCACAAGUGGCUCCGAAGCACCUGAAAACAACUCAAAUAUGCAGUAUGCAUGCAAAACUAUCCUAAACAUGUAAAGUGAUGACAAAUGAUGAAGAAUGGUAUGAAACAAUGAUGAAACGAUGCUAAAGUGAUGCUAAAUGGUUGCUUAAAACAGGUAAAAUAUAGACAUAUCAACUCCCUGAUAUGUCUGUAUUUUGCUAGUUUUUACCAUGCAUUUACAUCUCAUUUAGUCUAGUUUCAUCCUUGUUUCAUGUCUUUAACUCUUAGUUUGAGUCAUUUUGCAUCACUUUGCAUACUUAGAGUAUUCUACAUUAGCAUAGCAUGCAUUCUUGCAUUUUGGAGUUGUAUCUGGUACAUUCAGGUACUAAGGAGCAGUGCCAGAGCAGUGUACUCGAGUAGUGCAAGAGCAGUGCCAGAGCAGUUCCAGAGUAGUGUACUCGAGCAGUGUACUCGAGCAGUUCCAGAGUAGUGUACUCGAGCAGUGUACUCGAGCAGAGCCAGAGCAGUGUACUCGAGCAGUGCAAGAGCAGUGCCAGAGCAGAGCCAGAGCAGUGUACUCGAGCAGAUUUCUGAAGAGAAGACCAAGACAUACUCGACCAAUCUACUCGAACAGGCUACUCGAACUGGACAUGAGAGACUUACCCGAGCAAGAUGCAACCUUUGAAGAAUGGACUACUCGACCAAGCUACUCGAGUACCAGCUCGAGUAGACCCUAAACCGACUUUCUAUUUUGUCGUUUUGUGUACUAGGGUUUUCUACUUUUGCUAUAAAUAGACCUCUUAGGGCUUUGCCCAAAGGAUCUCGUUUUUUAUCCUCUGAACAAUAUUUCUACAAACUUUUGUAAUCUAAAUUACUUUUGAUCCUUUGAGUUUUUGCAAUAAUUUCCUUCUGCAAAGUUGUUUAUCUUGCUUUGAUCUAUAACAUAUGAUGUUUUUAGCGAUUUCUGGGUUUGUGCAAAUUUCUGGGUUUGUGUUCUUGAGCAUGUCUGAGUAGUGGAUUAGGGUUCUUGAGGAUGGGAUAGAUUAGGUGUGGAAUCCUUAGUUUAUUUAGGUGGUUAAGUGUAGAAUUGCUUGAAUCCCUUCUGGAUUAGUAGUACUUAGUGCUUAUUCCUUUUUGAUCAACUGGGAUUUGAACCCAGACAUUUCCACACCCACCAGGUGUUCGAUGAAAUGUCUGAACCAACUACUCCAGAGAUUUACAUACUCUAGCCCAAGAGAUUGGAUGUUUAGAAUGUUUAUUGACUAUAUUAGAUUGAAUCUUAUUGCCUGCUUUGCUAGAUUUCGCUAAUGAUGAUUAGGUCUGGAACUGGUAUUGCUUGAGGAUCUCUGUCACGAGAGUGGAUUGAUCUGUAGUUGAAUCUAUUGUCUAGGGAUAGCCUGUUUGGAUUGUUAACCACCUAAGUAGAUUAAGGAGACUGCUAUAAUCAAUUACCCUAUCCUCAGGACCUUUUAUCUCAUUUGAUUUACUUGUCUCUUUACCUGUUGCUUAUUGCUGCUUAGUAUUGAUAGUUCUUUCUCUUUAUGCAUGAUCACUCUUGUUCUGUAGUUUUAUCGUUUAUGCAUGAUCGCUUAGGAUUGUUAGAUAAACAAACCUCUAUUCUGCUUGGCUUGACUUAGUAUUCUCUGAUCACAUCUUGAUUGAUAGUAAGAGCACCUGAUUGGAUUGAUAACCUCUUAUACUGCAAUGACAUGAAAGUAUAUUAGGGUAAUUGAUAGUAAAAUCCUAGUAUCAAUUUGGCGCCGUUGCCAUUUGGGUGUCUGCUUGUUACAUUUGAGAUUUCAGACUUGCUUAGAUCAAGUUCUUAUCUACUUUACUUUGCUUAAUGACUUGCUGGAUUUUGCUCUGUCUGUCUGUUUAAGGUCUUUGUCAUGCAUUACAAUGAUUUGCCAGAAGAAGAGGAGGACAUCUUUGGAGACAACAUUCAAGAUGAGGAAUAUGUGGAGCCACAAUUAGAUGAGAAUGUUCUUACAUUGGAACAAAACGUGAAGUUGGAUGAGCUUUACAAGGAAAAUCCAACAUUGACGAGGAGUGACUUAGCGGCUUUGAUUCGGUUGAACCUCUUAUCAUUGCGGGCAGCACUUGAAGGAAGGGAACUCACAUUCUAUGAGAUUAGAGAAGCUCAUGCCCUUGAAAAGGUAAUAUAUUGGGUUCCACCAAGUGAACUAGAAGGUACAUGCAAUUCAACCUUUGAAAUUUAUGAUUUUGAAGAUAUCCAUAUGCCUUGCAUUGAAGAUAUGACUUCUAGUUUGCAUACUCCCUUUCUCAUCGAUGAAUGCUAUGAUUUGAUAUGUGAGUCUCAACGUCUAGACAUUUUAAGAGCAGAAAACGUUUCUAGGGAUUACCAUGAAUUAUGUUUUGAUAUUGAAUAUCAUUGUGCUUUGAAUGUUCAUGAUCUCGAGUUUAAGUUUUCAAUGCCUGAAUUGUCUAGAUCCCUUCUUGAAGAAUCUUACCUAGGAGUUGUGCUUGAUAUUGAUAAGAUUUUGCAUGGGACUGAGAACACCGAGGUAGAUUAUAUGGAUGGAGAUGUUGUGCUAUAUGAGAUUAAUGGGGAUGAAGUUGAUUAUUUUGUUAAAACUUCGUUUAAACCUGAAAUUGACUUUAUUUUCCCAUUAGAUGCAUUUGAUUCUCAUUCUCAUCCAACCAUCAAAGAAUAUUUCAAAGUAUAUGCUCCAAUUGUUGUAAUUGUCUUUGAUGUGUAUUUUAUCUCUUUACCAUGCCCAACUUUGUGUUACUUGGCGGAUGUAUUUUCUUACACUGAUAGGAGAAGGACAAAAGGUUCAUUGGCUCAACCUUUUGAUUCUUAUGACUAAUAUUUUGCUAUGGAAAAGUCAAGCUAAAGACUUUAAACAAGCUCACUUGGGAGGAAGUCUCAUGUCUAUCCUUGUAAAUAUUAGUUAUUUCCUUGUUAUUUUUAAUGUGUUUCUUUAGUGUUUUUGAUUUACAAGCAAAAAGAGGAAGGUUUUGGUUCAAGAAAAGCUCAUAAAUUUUUUGCAGAAACGCUACAGUACUCGAGUACUGUACUCGAGUACACCACCCGAGCACACUCCUGAGCAGCAACCCGAGCCCACUGUUCCGAGAGCAUCCCAGCCAGUACCUUGGAGCUACACGAGUGAGAGCAUGGAUGACUACGUCUCUGCUUUCUUUACUUAGACCAGGUAACAACUCUACUUCACCAUUGUUUAUAUCAUCUUUCAUUUUGUUUAUCUGUUGGUUUGCCCUGACUACUCUCUUCCAAAUGCUUGUUACACAGAGGACUGUGUAAUUUAAGUUUGGGGGAGGGCUCAGGGAGUAUUUGACAUUGUGUUUUCUGUUCUUAUUUCAAAUUUUGCAUCAUAUAAUCUGCAUUGCAUCUAAGGCAUAGAAAAAACCAAAAAAUUUGAAAAAUUUCUGAAAAUGAUUUCACAAAAACAGAGUGUUCAUAUAGCUUGCAUUGUCAUUUUAGGGUUGUUUUAGUAUGCUUUCACUUAGGGCUGUUGCAUCAUGCAUUUGCAUAGGAGAUUAUGAUAAUAACCUUGUAAAUAUGCUUAUUCACUAAGUAGAACUCAGUGCCCAGGUUGUUAGUUCUCUAAUGCAUAAUCGACUGAACUUGAAGUAAGACCGCACCAUCUUUUGAAUUCGAAGCUUGAUUUUCUUGUUCUUAGUUGAAACUCGCUUUGAUCUGAUGCCUUUCCCUAUCAAUUUGAACCUGAAUUUUGACUUGCAAUUAUCAUACUGUGCAUUGUGUUAUGAACUCAUGGUUACCUUAAAAUACUUGGACUUUCUUUUACCUUUUGAUCCCUCUUGCUAGUCCAAGUAGCUGACUCCCAUCUUUGGAGCAGUUAUUCCCUACCCUAAACCUUAACCUUCUUUCAAGCCAUUUAUCAUUUGUGUGUGACUGUGAGGCCUUACUUCGAUUGAGCUUGGUAGAAAGUGUUAGGUCUGUACCGACAAGGAUAGUAUCUCAUGUAGUUCUAGUUCACGUUAUCUGGACUAGAUAGGACUAGGUGGGUGCUUAAUUCUGGGUUUGGGUUGUGCUUAAAAGAAAGAAAAGGUUGUGUUCAUCACUGAAAGAAAAGAAAAGGGAAAUGAGUCCUUAGGAGAAGUAGCUAAAGUAAAAUAAAGUCUAGUAAAGGAUUUGGGAGUGUUAAAGUAAAGAAAAGGGUUCUAUAAUAGCUUAAAGAGAAAGGCCAAAAAGCCUUGUGUUAUAAGAAGGAAGAAAAAGGAACCCUAGUUGUUAAAGAAAUCCUAAUCCGCUAGACAGAGCAAAGAAAAAGAAAGCUUCUCCUAAGAUAGAAAGCAAGGUAAAGAAGAGAAUGAUUUGAGUAAGAGUCUGGAAAUGCUUUGAAUGCAAAAGGGUAGAGUUUAAGUUCAUGUUCUGGGAUUAGAAAUAGGACUUCAAUUUGGAUUGAUAUUGAUUACAUUCUGGGUAGAUGGGGUCUUAUCCUUGUAUGCAUAACUUGGAACUCACCUUUAGCAUUCUACUAAAGCUCAAUCAUUCUUGAGAGAUCCCCUGUUACGAUUUAAACCAGAUCUUUAAGGGACCAUCUUUGUCUCUUGACCUCUACCCUUAAACCAAAUGACUUCAUAUCCAUUGCAUUGUAUGAUCCACGGUUCUCACUUAAUUAAUGUUAAAGGGAAUGUGCUGAGGUGAUUGCUUGAAUUGAUUAAGGCAGAAGUUAGGUUGAGAUGUGAAGGAGAUGGCUAAAGUUUUAAAGUAGAGAUCAGUCAACCUUGCAUUCUAGAAUUAGCAACCUGGACAUUGAAUUCACUUACUUUAUAUGCAUGUUUUGGUUCUGAGUCUCCUCUUUCAAACCUCUCCUCCAGCUUGAUCUUUACUGUUUGCUUGAGGGCAAGCAAAGAAUAAGUUUGGGGGAGUUGAUAUGUCUGUAUUUUGCUAGUUUUUACCAUGCAUUUACAUCUCAUUUAGUCUAGUUUCAUCCUUGUUUCAUGUCUUUAACUCUUAGUUUGAGUCAUUUUGCAUCACUUUGCAUACUUAGAGUAUUCUACAUUAGCAUAGCAUGCAUUCUUGCAUUUUGGAGUUGUAUCUGGUACAUUCAGGUACUAAGGAGCAGUGCCAGAGCAGUGUACUCGAGCAGUGCAAGAGCAGUGCCAGAGCAGUUCCAGAGUAGUGUACUCGAGCAGUGUACUCGAGCAGAGCCAGAGCAGUGUACUCGAGCAGUGCAAGAGCAGUGCCAGAGCAGAGCCAGAGCAGUGUACUCGAGCAGAUUUCUGAAGAGAAGACCAAGACAUACUCGACCAAUCUACUCGAACAGGCUACUCGAACUGGACAUAAGAGACUUACCCGAGCAAGAUGCAACCUUUGAAGAAUGGACUACUCGACCAAGCUACUCGAGUACCAGCUCGAGUAGACCCUAAACCGACUUUCUAUUUUGUCGUUUUGUGUACUAGGGUUUUCUACUUUUGCUAUAAAUAGACCUCUUAGGGCUUUGCCCAAAGGAUCUCGUUUUUUAUCCUCUGAACAAUAUUUCUACAAACUUUUGUAAUCUAAAUUACUUUUGAUCCUUUGAGUUUUUGCAAUAAUUUCCUUCUGCAAAGUUGUUUAUCUUGCUUUGAUCUAUAACAUAUGAUGUUUUUAGCGAUUUCUGGGUUUGUGCAAAUUUCUGGGUUUGUGUUCUUGAGCAUGUCUGAGUAGUGGAUUAGGGUUCUUGAGGAUGGGAUAGAUUAGGUGUGGAAUCCUUAGUUUAUUUAGGUGGUUAAGUGUAGAAUUGCUUGAAUCCCUUCUGGAUUAGUAGUACUUAGUGCUUAUUCCUUUUUGAUCAACUGGGAUUUGAACCCAGACAUUUCCACACCCACCAGGUGUUCGAUGAAAUGUCUGAACCAACUACUCCAGAGAUUUACAUACUCUAGCCCAAGAGAUUGGAUGUUUAGAAUGUUUAUUGACUAUAUUAGAUUGAAUCUUAUUGCCUGCUUUGCUAGAUUUCGCUAAUGAUGAUUAGGUCUGGAACUGGUAUUGCUUGAGGAUCUCUGUCACGAGAGUGGAUUGAUCUGUAGUUGAAUCUAUUGUCUAGGGAUAGCCUGUUUGGAUUGUUAACCACCUAAGUAGAUUAAGGAGACUGCUAUAAUCAAUUACCCUAUCCUCAGGACCUUUUAUCUCAUUUGAUUUACUUGUCUCUUUACCUGUUGCUUAUUGCUGCUUAGUAUUGAUAGUUCUUUCUCUUUAUGCAUGAUCGUUCCUGUUCUGUAGUUUUAUCGUUUUUAUGCAUGUUCGCUUAGGAUUGUUAGAUAAACAAACCUCUAUUCUGCUUGGCUUGACUUAGUAUUCUCUGAUCACAUCUUGAUUGAUAGUAAGAGCACCUGAUUGGAUUGAUAACCUCUUAUACUGCAAUGACAUGAAAGUAUAUUAGGGUAAUUGAUAGUAAAAUCCUAGUAUCACUCCCCCAAACUUAGUCUUUGCUUGCCCUCAAGCAAACAAUCAAGAACAAGCUGGAGGAGAGGUUUGAAGGUGGGGGUUCAGAACCAAGUUAAGCAUCAGAUGAAAGAUUCAACUUAAAGUCCUUGAGAAUAAUUCAAAGCUGCAAGGAUCAAACAAUAUACUCUUUCGUACUUCUCCAUACUUAUGUUAAUGCAUGAUCCUAGUUCAACUUCUAGCUAUUAGCAAAAACUCACAAUCAAGCUGAAACAACUCUUUAACAUUCAUUAGUGUUUGGUGCAGUCUCGCAGAUGGUAAAUGAAUCAAACUCAAUCGGCUUAGGGACAAAGGCUUUUGAGGGAGGUUUCAAGUGUUUUAUUUUUUUGGUGGCUUUCUCUCAGAAACAAGGAAUGCAAGACAGUCAUGAAAUUUAUCUAAGACCAAGAACAGUUUACGCUACAAAGUUCAACUCUUGCUGCUCUACCCAUCUUAGAUGUAAUCUCUAGUAUCUACCCUUAACUCAAUCUUAUCAUUCUCUCUUUUCCCAGAAACCACUUAGACCAUUUGGUCUCUCUUUAAAACACAACCCAUAAGAUCAUCUUUCUUUUACUAGACACCUAGGGAAUCCUUUUAAACACUUAGCUCUUUCUUUAAACUUUUCUUAGACUUUUCUUUGUUCCCAAUACUUGUAUAACUUUGAGACUUUUCUUUUCUGUUUGGGGAACUAACUUAUUCACUUCUCUUAUUUUAGAGGCUUAGAGCUUUUACUUAUGACUUUCAUUCCCUAGGGACUCUUUUAAAACACUUAGUGAUCAACCUUUCUUUUUCAUUCCCUUUUCUUUCUCUCAAACCCACUGACCAACCCCAUAUAUUGUUCUAACCACUUAUGCCUUUUCAUUCCCAACCUAUUAGCUAUCCUUAAUGAAGUUCAGGAGUCUAGCCUAAAGCAAGAGUUAAAGCCUUGUUGUUCUCGAUACUCUCAAAGUUUCACAACCUAUUGCAUUAUCAAACAAAAAGGCCUCACACACAAUCAAAUCAUAGGUUUCAAAGAAAAGGUUGAGGUUAAGGGUAGGGGAGCCAUUCUAAAGAUGAGAAUGGUCAUUCGGGUUCACAAAAGAUUGGCAAAAUGGAGAAGAAAACCCGAAUGAGUCAUAUAGACAACCAUGAGGAUGCAUUUAGAUACCAUAAGCGAGAGAAUUAAAUCAGUUUUAAGUCCAAAUUCAUAGAGAUGUUUCAGAGAUCAUGUAAGCAUCACACAAGUAGAAAUUGCUUUCAAAUCAUACAGAAGUCUAAGCAUGGAAUUUUCAUUUUUUCACAGAUGAUCAAGCAGCAGUCAACUAUGCUCAAGGGCUUUAAGUUCAAUCUUAAACCAGAAUUUCUACAAGGCAAUAUCAUCAUAAUCCCCAAUGCAAACUUCAUGAUGCAACAGUCCUAAGUGAUUGCAUACUAAACAAUCCUACAUGACAAUGCAAACUACAUGAACACUCUUUUUAUGAAAUCAUUUUCAGUAAUUUUUCAAAUUUUUUUGGUUUUUUCUAUGCUUUAGAUGCAAUGCAGACUAUAUGAUGUAAAAAUUUGAAAUAAGAACAGAACAAACUUCAUUAGAUAACAAACACUUCCUGAGCCCUCCCCCAAACUUGAAUCACACAGCCCUUUGUGUGAUCAAACUUGGAAGAGAGUACUCAGGACAAACAAAUAAAGAAAGAAAUCAAGAGAUGGUAUAAACAAUGGUGGUUGAGUGUGGUACCUCAGUUGAAGGUCUUGGAGAUGUAGUCAUCCAUCUCCUCUCUGGUGUAUUCCCAUGGAAUGUUGGGACCUUGUUGUUGCUCUUCCUCCUCAGGUGCAUGGUGCUCGAUCUCAGGGUCAGCUUGGCGGUCAGUAUGGCGGUUGAGUGGUCGCCUAGCAUUGAGGAGCCUCGCCUUGCUGCUGGAGCGAACCGGUGCUUGCUUCUUUCUUCUUCUGUGCUCUCUAGGUUCGUGAGAAGAAUGUCUUGCUGGUGCGUGGGGAGUGUCUGCUUCCCUUGGUUCAUAGGUGGAUUGCUUGGGCACUUCGUAGACGUCUUGAACCGGUGCUAAGGUUGAGUCCCUUGGUGCAUCUGAAUCAUAACGUCUGGAGUAUAUCUCUUCAGGAGGGUCGACCCUUGGUGCAGUAGUGCUAGUAGAGGAGCGGUUCAACUUCUUCUGUAUGGAUGUGCACAUCUUGAAGCACUUACCAAUGAACUUGUCCUGGAACUUGCACCAGGCUUGGAGCUUACUGAUCUUCUCAUGGCUCUCAGCGAGACUCCUGCUCUCCCUUGAUGGCGAGAUAUGCUCAGCGAAGUGGAACCUCCUGGUGUUAUACUCCUCUAUAUCUGGGUCCGCUUCUUCUUCCUCAGCUUUGUUUUCUUCAGCGUUGGCUCCUUCUUCUUCAGCAGGUUGAAUGACUUCACUCACGCCAUAGAGCAUUUGAGCAGGUGGUUUGAAGUCAAUAUUGCUUAUGUCCGUGAUCGUGGUGUAUGCCUGGUGAGGGAGGAGAAACUUCGCCCCUUCUGCUCCUGGAAGGUCAAAUAUCCAGGCAUACCUUUCAUCUAUCAUUCCCCAAGCCAAAGAGGUAGUUUUCCUCAAAUGCUCGAUGUCAAGCCACUUAGGAAGGACUUCCUGUGAUUCCAAGGGUACUCCACAUGCCAUCAAUAUAGGUGUUAUCAGCCCACCCAUACACAACUUUCCUUUAGUAGUUUUCUUGGCAUUCGCAACUGCCCAUGAUUUGUAGCUCCACAAGUGGCCAAGUAAGAAGAAAACAGCAGAAGUGUUUGACUUGUCACCCAUUAACACGGUAUUGUCUUUGGUUAUGCCCAGGGUUUCCUGCAGUGCCAUCACCAACACUUCCAUCUCUCCGUUGAUGAUUGUGCCAGUUGCCUCCCUUGCGAAUAGAACACUGGCAAGGCUGCGGUGGAAGUAGCGGAGGACUGGGCUCCUGAUGGUGUUGCUCUUGGAUCGGGAAGAGAAGAACUUGACAUCAUCUCCAAUCGUCUCCCAGAGACCAACUAUCUCUUUUCUGUCAACACGGUGGCCAGUGCCAACUCCGCUCUGAAACUCAAAGAGAGAUUCAGCUGCUUCAUGGUGAUGAUGUAGUCUUGGCCAUGGAUAGUGAAGGUCAUGUAGCCGAGCCCGUAGUCUCUUUCCCUCUUCUUCUUCUUCUUAGAAAAGAUCUCAACUUGGAAGGAGGAGAGAAACUGGAUUGUUUCCUCCUUGUAAGCUCUGUAGGGGCGGUUCAGGAGGGUGAAUAGACUGGUUUGCUCACAGAGAUACUCGAUGUCUUCAUAGAUACCGAGCUCCAUCAUCGUUCCUGGAUGCGGGUACCUAGUCCCGACAAAGUGAUGACGCCUGAAGAACUCACAGUACUCGUCCAUUGAGAUGUUCUUCUUCUCCGUCUUCCAAGGCUUCGUUGGAAUGUCCUUCAACGAACUGGAUAUCUCUAUCAUGGUUUUCUUGCCGCUGGCGAUGUCGUCUCUGAGCCGAGAGUACUCUUGACCUUCUCUUUCUGGAAGAGAUGUGGACCAUGACUCGUCCUCAUUAACAUUGUAAUCCUGAUCCUGGCUAGAGGCAUAGCUCACCUGGUCAUUGUAUGAACUCAUUUUUUUUUUUUUUUUUUUCGAACUGAAUGAAUCAAACUCAAAACUACAAAUUAGUAGGUUAGUGAGUCCAGACAAAUCAAAACCAAGAUAGAGGGAAGAGUUAAAGUUUGGGUGAGACAAAGGAUUGAGUGAACCUUAGAAUGUGGCUGAUGGGAGCGGAUUUGGGGCUGCUUGGUCGAGCAAGUGAAGUAAGCGAAUGGUGGUGGGAAUGAGCUCGCGCUCGAGUAAACGGAGUGAAAGACGGACGGUUGUGCUUCCUUGGCGAUCGAGUAUAUGGAGAAGCGGAGGUGAAAAGCUGGGAUGUUGGUGAUUUUAGAGAGAGAAGUGAGCUUUGUAGUGAUAGGUAGAGCUUGGAAAUGUUUGUAUAUAUAGCGGAGUGGUGUGAGUGGUUUGCCUUUGAAGAUGUGGAGGAGAGUGAAAGAGAAAUCAUGUGGAGGAGGAUGGAGUUCUCAUUUAAAACGUGGGGAAAGGAAGUGGUUAAGUUGGUGGCUUUAGCUUGGUGGGAGACAAGAUGGGAUGUAGGAGACAUGAUGGGACGCCUCCAUUGACUCAAGUGGGGAAUCUCUUUAAUUACCAUUAGCAGAAUCGCAACUCAUUAGAGUGAUUACUGUACCUCCAAACUUGUUUUAAUCGCUUGAUCCUUCUUCUACCUCUUCAGCUCCAAGACAAUCAAAUUUGCACCAAACUGACCAUUAUACUCGAUCUCCACUGGUAGGGUGCUCUGUUGCACUCUCAUCGUCUUGCUCUCCUUGUGAUCGAGUAGGUGAUGAUGAAUGGGGAUUUUUGUGAUCAAAAACACGCAUGCUCGACUCUCCUACUCGAUGGCGGGGUCUCCAGGUGCAACAAAAGAUUUUCAAAUUUUUAGACUCCACUGGGCUAAUAUACUCGAUCUCAAGGUCCAUGGUGGAGUAAAAAAAAAUUUUAAAUUUUUACUCUAUCUCCAGAUUGAUCCUCCAUUCCUGAGAACCACAAACACUACCAAAACAAAUCAAAAAUAACAAGAAAGAAAAAUUAUUUACAGAGAUAGUCAUGGGACUUCCUCCCAAGUGAGCUCGUUUUAAGUCAUUAGCUUGACUUCCUCACUCCCUUAAACAUCAAGAGGGUCCUGGAGAUGAACCGAGGUCACCUCUGGAAGGAUUUGAUCUGCUAAGUAUUUCUUGAGUCUUUGGCCAUUUACUGUAAAAUCUCCACUCUUACCAGCUAGAGUGACUGCUCCAUAAGGGCGGACUUCAGUAACACAGAAGGGACCAGACCAUCUAGACUUUAGCUUUCCUGGAAAGAGUUUUAGGCGAGAGUUGAAUAGCAGCACUUGAUCACCAACUUGGAAGUCCUUGGUGAUGAUCUUCUUAUCAUGGAAAAGCUUAGUCCUCUCUUUGUAGAUUUUAGAGUUUUCAUAAGCUCCCAACCUAACUUCAUUGAGAUCAUUCAGCUGGAUCAACCUCUUCUCUCCAGCAGUUUUGAUGUCGUAAUUCAGAAGCUUCACAGCCCACAUAGCCUUGUACUCGAGCUCAACAGGUAAGUGACAGGAUUUUCCAUAGAGAAGGUUGAAGGGAGUUGUACCAAUAGGGGUUUUGAAUGCUGUCCUGUAAGCCCAUAGUGCAUCAUCUAGCUUUGCAGACCAGUCUUUCCUUGUAGUCCCAACAGUUUUCUCCAGAAUUGCUUUUAUCUCCCUGUUGGAGAUCUCAACCUGACCACUUGUCUGUGGAUGAUAAGGAGUGGCUACCUUAUGCUUCACUCCGUGUUUCUUCAAUAAGUUCUCAAAGACUUUGUUGAUGAAGUGUGUACCUCCAUCACUGAUGACGACCCUUGGUAUACCAAAUCUAGGGAAAAUUAUGGUUUUAAACAUCUUCAGAACCACCCUUGAGUCAUUUGUCGGACUUGCAAUGGCCUCAACCCACUUGGACACGUAGUCUACUGCUACCAAGAUGUAUUUGUUCCCAUAGGAAGAAGGGAACGGCCCCAUAAAGUCGACUCCCCAGACGUCAAAGAUUUCUACCUCUAGUAUAGGAUUUUGUGGCAUUUCAUUUCUUCUGCUGAUGUUUCCCUUCCUUUGGCAUGAGUCACAUCUUGAUAUGAACUGCUGGGCGUCUUUGAACAUGGUUGGCCACCAGAAGCCUGCUUGCAGUACCUUAGAUACUGUCUUAAAAGUCGCAAAGUGACCACCAUAUGUUGAACCAUGGCAGUGAAGCAGGAUGUCUUCUACUUCCUCCUCUGAGAUACAUCUUCUGUAAAUUUUGUCUUUACAGAGAGUGUAAAGAUAUGGCUCAUCCCAGUAGUAGUGGUUGAUAUCUCUGAAAAACUUCUUCUUUUCAUAACUGGUCAGGUUGGGAGGCUCUACUCCGCAGGCCAAGUAAUUGACAUGAUCAGCAUACCAUGGAGAUUUUCCUUCAACAGCAUUCAGUUGGUGAAACUCAUUCCCACUGUAAUUCUUUCCAAAGAAUUCUGUAACCAUGAGUUGCUCCUCUGGCAUCGAAUCAUCAAUAGGGACUUCAUCAUCGAUCCUCAUCCUUGAUAAGUGAUCAGCUACACCGUUCUCUAUACCCUUCUUGUCUACUAUUUCCAUGUCAAACUCUUGCAGAAGUAGUAUCCAUCUCAAUAGUCUUGGCUUAGUGUCCUUCUUUGCAUAAAUGUGUCUCAAGGCUGCAUGAUCUGUGUAGACUAUGACUUUAGAACCCACCAAGUAGCUUCUGAACUUUUCAAACGCAAAAACAACUGCCAAUAACUCCUUCUCUGUCGUGGCGUACUUCACCUGAGCAUCAUCCAUUGUUCUACUUGCGUAAUAGAUGACAUGGAGCUUCUUGUCAAUCUUUUGUCCCAAGACUGCUCCUACAGCGUAAUCUGAGGCGUCACACAUGAUUUCGAAUGGAUCGGAUAGUCCCAGUUUGGAGCUUGGACUAUUGGAGCUGAAAUCAGAGCUUCCUUGAUGAGUUGAAAAGCUUUCAGGCAUUCCUCAUCAAAAUCAAACUCUGUUUCCUUACACAGCAGCCUUGUCAUUGGUCUUGCCAGCUUGGAGAAAUCUUUGAUAAACCUUCUAUAAAACCCAGCAUGUCCCAGAAAACUUCUCACGUCCUUGACACUCUUUGGUGGUUGCAGUUGCACCAUAACCUCAAUCUUUGCUCUGUCAACCUCUAUACCCCUCUCUGAAAUCUUGUGCCCCAAUACAAUGCCUUCUUUGACCAUGAAAUGGCAUUUUUCCCAGUUGAGUACCAAGUUCGUCUCUUCACACCUAGAAAGUACCCUGCACAAGUUUGACAAACAAGAGGAGAAGGAGGAGCCAUACACGGAAAAGUCAUCCAUGAAUACCUCAACCAUCUCCUCAAUUAAAUCCGAGAAGAUAGAAGUCAUGCACCGCUGAAAUGUAGCUGGUGCAUUACAGAGACCAAAAGGCAUUCUUUUAUAUGCAAAGGUUCCGUAUGGACAUGUGAAUGUAGUUUUCUCUUGAUCAUUAGGGUGAAUUGGUAUUUGAAAGAAACCACUAUAACCAUCAAGAAAGCAGUAAUAUGGGUGAUUAGCCAACCUUUCUAGCAUUUGAUCGAUGAAUGGAAGUGGAAAAUGAUCUUUCCUAGAUGCAGAAUUCAACUUCCUAUAGUCAAUGCACAUUCUAUGUCCAGUUAUAGUUCUAGUGGGUAUUAGCUCAUCUUUAUCAUUUUUUACAACAGUCAUACCUCCUUUCUUUGGAACGCAAUGAACUGGAGAUACCCAAGUGCUAUCGGAAAUAGGGUAAAUUACACCUGCUUCCAAUAGUUUAAGUAUCUCUUUCUUUACAACUUCUUUUAAAUUAGGAUUCAACCUUCUUUGGGGUUCAAUGCUCGAAUAAGAUUCAUUUUCAAGAUGAAUGCGAUGUGUGCAUAAACUAGGUGAAAUGCCCUUUAUAUCAUCAAGUGAAUAACCAAUGGCUCUUCUAUACUUUUUCAGUUCAGUUAAUAGAAGAUGCACUUGUUCAUCAGUUAAUGCAUCAUUCACAAUGACAGGAUAUGUAGAGUUAUUACCUAGAAAUGCAUACCUGAGUCCUUUGGGAAGCGGCUUAAGUUCAACUUUUGGUGCCUUGAGUUCAGACCAGUCGUCUGAUGUUGGAAUGAUCAGCUCCGCAGGGAUGUCAACUGUAGUGGUCGAGUGUUCAGUCGAGUAAGUCCUCGAGUGAGCAGGUUGAGCCUGAGUUGAGUCCUCGUCAUUCACUGCCAUUACCUCUGUUGCUGACCCAUUCAAUUCCUCAAAGGAUUCUGACUCUUCUACUGCUUUGUGUGAGUCCAACAGCUUCUGGUAACCCAAAGUUUCUAAAUGCAGAAACCCUUCUUCACCAUUCUUGGUCAAAGCACUCUUAAGGUGAUCUUCUUCAGCUAGUUCCUCUAGUAACUCAUCAGCUAACUGAUCCAUUUCUUCAAUCCAAAAGAGUUGCCCUUCUAUAGUUGGCUUCUUCAUUGCAUCCUUUAUAUCAAAGGUCAUUUUAAGGUCUUUACCAAGGUUCAGAUCGAUCUUCCCCUUCUUGACAUCAAUGAUAGCUCCAGCAGUCGCCAAGAAAGGUCUUCCCAGAAUCAGAGGGUCCUUUGGUUCUUCAUCCAUUUCAAGCACUACAAAAUCAGUAGGUAUCUCUACGACUCCGAUCUUGAUUGGUAAGUCUUCAAGCAGGCCAUGAGGUAUUCUGAUGGAUCUGUCUGCUAGAAUCAGAGAGAUAUUGCAAGCUUUGUAUUUGCUGAAACCAAGUCUUUUCGCAACUGAGAGGGGCAUGAGGCUCACUGAUGCGCCUAGAUCGCAGAGGCAUCUGUUGAAUGAUAAAGGACCUAAUGAACACGGUAGAGUGAAUGAGCCAGGAUCACCAAGCUUCUUUGGAAUGAUCUUCUUCUGAAUAAUAGCACUGCAUUCAUGACUCAAUACUACCAUUCCUUGCACUUCUUGAAUUCUUUCCAUGAUCAGGUCUUUCAAAAACUUGUGGGAAUCCAGAAUAAGCGCGAGAGCAUCAACAAGAGGUAUUCUUAAUUCAACUUCUUUGAUGUUCUUGGCAAACAUAGCUCUAUACUUUUCUGCCAAUGCUUUCUUGUGUCGUCCAGGGAAUGGAAGUGGGGGUUUGUAAGGAGGAGGAACAAAAACCUUCUCCUUGUUCUUAGCAGCAACUGGUUUUAGAACAGCAGGUGAUGUUACUGGAAUUGGUGAUCGAGUAACAUGGUCGAGUGGAGGGUCGAGUACUUCUGUUGGCUUGUCAACUUGAUCUUCAUUGAGAUUGAAAUCCUCCCCAUCUUGGUCUGCACUGUCCUCAGUGGCUGGCUUAGGUCCCUCUCUGGUUGGAAGUUCUUUACCACUGCGCAGGGUGAUAGCAUGAGCCUGAGCAUAGUCUUUUGGAUUCUGAAUCGCUUUGCCUGGAAGUUGGCCAGUAGGUUUUGGAGUAGAAGUGGAUGCAGAUUGUCCUUCCAAGUAUCGGACUUUAGAAUUCAGUGCCUCCACUUUGACAUUCAAGUCAUUGUAGCUACAGUCCAGCUUAUUGUGUAAUUCGGAUAUCUUCUUAGCAAUCUCCAUGGAGCCAGAUGCUUGUCCUUGAAGAAUCUGUUGUAGCAUUUGCUUCAUGUCAGAAUCAGGAGCAGCAGAACCUUGGUGUUGCUGAGCUGUAAACCCAGGUGGUGGUUGCUGCUGGUAGUUCCCCUGAAAUUGUUGCUUGGGAGCAAAACCUUGGUUGUAGGGAACAAAAGGUUUAUUCUGACCCGGCUGUUGUUGUGGAGGAUACACUUGAUCCUGUGGAUUAGCAACGUUGGUGCUGCGGUAAGAAAGGUUGGGGUUGUUAGUCUUGAAGUUGUUAUACCCUUUGUAGCCGCCUUGAUUGUUGAUGUAGCUGACCUCUUCUAACUGGUUCCCCUCCCCAUCUUGGACUUGAUACUGCUCGUCAUCAACAAGGAAGUGCACAUGCUUCUGCUGGCCAAGGAGAAUCCUAUCCAGUUUCUCAUUAAGAGCUUUCAUCUCUUUACUAUGCUUUGCAUCCGAUUCUCCAAUACCUCUGUUGGAGCGAUCAAAAUCCUCGUUAUAAUUACCAUCGGAUUGAGCUAAGUUCUCAAUUAAUUCCCAGCCUUCUUCAACAUCCUUAUUCAAGAAAUUCCCAUUAGAAGCAGUGUCCAGCAACAUUCUGAUCUUGGGCAAAACUCCCCUGUAGAGUGUGCUUAGUAGAGAAGCCUUCUUGAAACCAUGGUGUGGACACUGUAUAGUGUAGCCUUUGAAUCUCUCCCAGGCUUCACAAAUGGAUUCAGACUGCUUUUGGGUAAAACUGGAGAUUUCAUUCCUAAGCCGUGCAGUUCUUGAAUUUGAGAAGAACUUUGUUAAGAAGGCCUUCUUGCAAUCGUCCCAAGAUGUGAUGGAGCCAGCAGGUAACGUCUUUUCCCAUUUGUGUGCUUUGUCUCCCAGUGAGAAGGUAAACAGGCGCAUCUUGAAACUGUCCUCACUAACACCGUUUAUCUUGGUUAGGCUGCAGAGCCUAUCGAAGUUAUCCAAGUGGUCUAAGGGAUCUUCCAGAGGCAGACCAUGGAACUUGUUUCCUUGAAUCAUCGAGAUGAGACCACUUUUAAUCUCGAAGUUGUUGUUUUGGACAGCAGGAGGCACAAUCCCUUGCCUCUGAUGGUGGUUUCUUGGUGCAUCUCCAGCACCAAUGUUUGCAGGCAGAUUGUUGACAUCUUGUUCAUCAGCCAUUCUGAAAGGAUGGUUGUGUUCAAGGUCUGUAGUGUCUCUCCUUUCCCUUAGUUCUCUGUCAAUACGGUCAAUGUUAUCGUUGAAAAGGAGGUUCUGGUUGCCUUUUGAUCGAGUUUGCAUACAGCAGGGUUGUACCUGGAUCAAGAAGACAACAAGAAAAACACAAAGUUAGUAGCCUAAGUGAAAAUUGAAAUAGAACUUGAUCUAAGCAAGUCUGAAAUCUCAAAUGUAACAAACAAACACCCAAAUGGCAACGGCGCCAAAUUGAUAGUAGGAUUUUAGCUAAGAUCAAUUAUCCUUAAAGUACUAUCAUGUCAUUGCAGUAUUUAAGGUGUCAAUCCAAAUGGGUGUGAUGCUAGCAAUCAAGAUGCAAUCAGAUAUCACAAAGUCAAGCCAAGCAAUAACAGGUUUUGAUGUUGUUAACAAUCCUAAGUGAUCAUGCAAAAACAGAAAUUAUAACAGAAAUAGCUAAUAUACUCGACCAACACAGCCUGAUGCCAAGCACUGGGUGUGGUCGAGUAUCAGGUCGAGUAACAGCAGAAACUGCAAUAAAACUACUCUACCACACAGUCUGUUUGCCAGACACUGGAUGUGGUCGAGUAACAGGUCGAGUACCAAAUGGAAACUGCAAUAAAACUACUCUACCACACAGUUCGUUUCUAAACCACUGUGUGUGGUCGAGUACUUCAAGUGAAUUAAGACAAAAACGAAAAUUAAGAACCAAGUGACAAGAUCAAGCAAUCAAAAGCGAUGUAAACAAAGAAAUCAAUUUGAAGAGAAAUUCCCGAGGAUGGGGUGAUCGAGUAGUGAAGUCUCCUUAAUCUAACAGGUGGUUAACAUGCUCAACAAACUAUCCCUAGACAACAAGUUCAAUAGCCAAAUCAAAGUGCUACCGCAACAGAGAUCCUCAAGCAAAGCUAGUCCCAGACUCAAUCACCAUUGACGAGAGCUAACCUAACAGGCAUUACGAAACAACAAAUCUAAGCCAAAACGCUCCCUGUAACCAAUACCUUGGUACAGAGCCACGAAUCUCUGGAAUUAGUGGUUCAGACAUUUCAUCGAACACCUUUUGGGUGCGGAAAUGUCUGGGCUCAGAUUCCAGUUGAUCAGAAAGCAAUCAGCAUUAAGAACAACUAAUCCAGAAGGGAUCUACAAAUCAAACUCAACCACCUAACAGAUCAAGGAUUCUAAACUACUCUAACCCAUCCUCAAGAACCCUAAUCACUACUCAAAACUCAUGAACAUGAACAUAAACCCAGAAAUGCAUAAAAACUUCAUACUAGCAAGAUCUCAACAAGAUGAACAACUUUGUAGAAGAAAUCAAAAGCAAAUACUCAAUAGAUUAAGAGAAAUCUGGAUUACAAAUAUGAAGAAAGCACUAAUUGUUCUGCAGAAAAAAAUAACUUAGUCUGAAAAUUAUGAGAAACAACCUAUUUAUAGCAAAUACUAGGAAACCCUAAAUCACAAGACGACAAAGUAUUAGGGCGGUUUACGGAGAUACUCGACCCUUGUGAUCGAGUAGAGAGGUUGAAUAAAGUUGGCGCCUUGCGAUUUUCUUGCUCUGGGCAUGUUGUGAUCGAGCAUUUGGGUCGAGUAUGUGCUCGCGUUCUGCUUCAUCCUCUUCUCUUCCUUAUGCUCAAUGUCUGGUUGAGUGGGGAUCUGAGAAGACUCUGAAGCUUGUGAUCAAGAGGCUGCUUGGAGGUGGUGAUCGAGCAUCUGCUCGAGUGAUCUGAGGGAGGCUUGCUGGGGAAUGCUCGACUGACACGAUCGAGUAUGUCAACAGAGGAUGCGAUCAAGUGUUGUGGCAGGUUGUGGUCGAGCAUUUGCUUCAGUGGCCAGGAUGAUGGUACUCGACCUCGUGAUCGAGUAUGUGGUCGAGUGGUGGCGUUGAAGUGGUGAUCGAGUCAUUUGGUGAAGAGCAUGGUCGAGCGCUUGAGAAGCGGUGGAGCUGAUCUACUCGAUCACCGUGGUCGAGUGGUUCCUUGUUUUGUCCCUGAUCAUGCUCGACUGAGUAGGUCGAGUGUGCUGUCUGAUUUGGCUCUGCUUCUCUCAAUCUGCUCACAAGUGGCUCCGAAGCACCUGAAAACAACUCAAAUAUGCAGUAUGCAUGCAAAACUAUCCUAAACAUGUAAAGUGAUGACAAAUGAUGAAGAAUGGUAUGAAACAAUGAUGAAACGAUGCUAAAGUGAUGCUAAAUGGUUGCUUAAAACAGGUAAAAUAUAGACAUAUCAU
rnacentral:lncRNA from 1 species